ensembl:lncRNA
UUUGAUGAACUAGAACCUGUAAAUACUUGGACCAUUUUUCUCUGUGCAGAAGAAACCCAAUGAACACCCUUGCAUCCCUUAGCCGGCUUAGUUUGUCCCCGGUCACAGCUCCAGGAGGGUUGAUCAAGGCCAUCCCAGGCUUGCCAAGGAUCCUCUAAUAGCUGCUUGCAUUACCUCUGCUGCUGGGGAGCUCACCUCCCACGAAUCCACUCAUGUCAGCUUCGAUGUGGUAAGGGAUGCAGUGUGACAUGCAAUUAAAGCGAGGGUCUUAGGGACAGGAACUUCUGGGCUCAAAUCCCUACUCUGCCACCUCUCAACUGAGUGAAUCUGGACAAGUUCCUUCAUCUCUGGUACCUCUGUUUCCUCAUCUAUAAGUGGGCAGAAGCCUAUCCACCUGUAGGGUGUGAAAUGUAGUGGGGCUGAAAUGUAGCAAUGGCUGCAGUCGCCAGUCUUCUCUUUGACAGCAGACAGAUGCCCUCACAGAGACAUCUCCCACCCCUCAGCACUGAAGCAUCUUCUUGAGGCUGGUAUCUGUUAGGUCUGGUACCCAGAUACUUGCCUCCUGCUGGGAUACUGGCCUUCUGGGUCCUCUCCAGAGCGCUCAGUUGGGAACUGUCCGAAUAACACUUAAGAUGACACUCCCCAAAGGGCCCGCACAAGCAGGCCACCUGGGGCACUUGUUUAAAUGCCUAUUCUUAGGCUCCUCUCCUCUCCUAGAGUUUGAUUCUAUAGCUAGAGUUAGGCCUAGGGCUCAGAAUUUUUAACUGAUACCCCGUAGAACACCUGUGAUCAUGCCAGUCUGGGAUACUCUGAUGCCAUCGAAGGGGAGCUGGCUCAGAGGUAGGGCCAUAGACAUUAUCACAGCCUCACUGGGUACUUAGACAAGCCCUGUCCUUCUCUGUGGCUGUUUUCUCAUGAAUAAGUGAGGGGUUUAGAUGAUCUAUAAGGGUUCUUCCUGGCCUUAGAACCCCAUGAUAGAAGUUCCCACUGUGGCUCAGCAGAAACAAACCAACUAUUACUCAUGAGGAUGUGGGUUCAAUCCCGAGCCUCGCUCAGUGGGUUAAGGAUAUGGCAUUGCCGGGAGCUGUGGUAUAAGGUCGCAGAUGCAGUUCGGAUCCCGCAUUGCUGUGGCUGUGGCUGUGGCUGUGGCAUAGGCCGGUGGCUACGGCUCUGAUUCAACCCCUAGCCUGGGAACUUCAGCAAGUGUGGCCCUAAAAAGCAAAAAACAAAACAACAAAAAACAACAACAACAACAAAAACAUGAUAACCAAAAGGACAGUCCCGGGUAUCUCACCUGCCAUACUCUCUGGGUCAGAUCUGUAGGUUUCAGCUUCAUUCCCUCUGACCACAGAGGGUUCAGGUCCGCAGCCGCCUGCCAGCCCCAGGGCCCUAGGGACAGAAAAGCUGUUCCCUGGGCAUGACGUGCCAUUUCGUGGUGAUUCCCCAAGGCCUUACAGGAGGCCUUAGAUCAGUAGGCAUCUGCUGGGUCCACUCAGAUCUGAGAUCUCUUUGGCAAGCCGAGCCGGACCACUAGCCUGGGGCCAGCCCAGGGAGGCAGCGUGAGUGGGCCCAUCUGGCUCCUCUGAGGGACCUUGGAGCUUUAUUAGUUAACCCACAUGGGAACCUGCACUGUCACAACUAGAGGGUGGCCCUUCUGGAGCCCCUUCUUUUUAUAGACAGGGGAACUGAGGCCCAGGGUGGAACGUGACUUACCGGUUCCCAUAGGCAGAAGUGCGGGGCAGGCCUGGAACCAGGCCUCUUGGCUUGUGGUCUGAUCUCUGGGCCGUGCCAGGCCACCUGCCACCUCACUCCUUGGACAGUCCAUCUGGGAUGGUAGGCCUGACAGGCUUGAACCCUAAACCAGCCUUUGAAGCUCCUGAGGAGAGAUGAGGGCUGUCUCAGCACAGGGACCAAGGGACCGACUGCUCCUAAACACUGGGCCUUUUUUGACCUGCGCUGCUCUGCCUAAAUCAAUAGUCCCUCCUAUGCCCUGAGUCUUCCCUCCCCAGCCAAGGACACCUCAUGGAAGGUUUCCAGGAAUAUCCACGCAGAGGGCAACAUACUCCAGAAAUGACAAGGCUCUUACUCGCUGGUUCCCUCCCAUUUUCCACUCACUGGUGCUCAGGGAAGUUAACAGGCAGAGGUGAAAAACUGGCCCUGCACCCUAAAAAGACCUCGUUCGAGGCAGCUGGACCCUGGCAGGUGGCAGAGGAGAAAUUAUUCCCACCAGGGCCUUCACCCCCAACUGGGAUGAUGUCAGAGUCUGGUGCCCAAGGUCUGGGUUAUGCAGCUCUGGCCACUGGCAUCCUGCUGGUACUGCCAGCCCUUGUGUGGGCCAGGGCCGGCGGCUCUCUCUCCUCCCACAUGGGUCCUUGGUUCAUACUGGUGCCUGGUACAGGGCCCUUGCGCAAGCUUGUCCUCUGCAUUCUCUGCAUCCGCAGUCAGUAAGGUGGUGGUAUUUAGUAAGCACCUACUGUUUGUGCGGGUCUGUGUUUAGCUGCUGGGGAUAAAAAGGAAGCAAAAGACCCCAUGCCCGCCUUCAGGUGGCGCACAGUCUGGGCCAGGUCUUACAUGCAGGAAACAGAAUGAGUGAUGUACCUAGUGCCCCUGGCACCAGGGAGGUGUUAGAAUCAAGGAGGAGUUUUUGCAGAGCGAGAGCUGCAGAAGGCUUCCUGGAGGAGGCUGAUUGGAGCCAAUCAACACGCGAAAGACUCCAAGGAUUUCAGGUAGGGCUCGAAGUGAGACAGAAAAAGCCACAGCCUUAGGUCAGGUGUGGUCCAAACCAGAACCCUAGAUAGAUAGAUGCCUAAGUAUGCUUGCGUGUUGGGGGGGCUGGGUGGUAUCCGAGCAUCAUCUGCGACCUGCACCACAGCUCCCGGCAACGCCGGAUCCUUAUCCCACUGAGUGAGGCCAGUGAUCGAGCCCGCGACCUCAUGGUUCCUAGUCAGAUUCGUUUCCAUUGCACCACAACAGGAACUCCUAUAUCAGCUAUUUUUCAGACUCCAUCUCGGUGCUGGUCGUCCCUUAUGACCUCCCUAACUUGUGCUGUUUUUCUUCCUGGGUCCCUUGCUGGUUUUUUUCCCUCAAUCUCUUACUUCCCUCUCUGGAUGUGUGCAUGCUUAUGUGGGUGCCUGUCUAUGUGUGUCCCUCCCACUCCCUACACACACACACACACCUCUGCCCCCUGCAAGCUAAGUGCAGCUUCCUCCCCAUUCCUAAAGGCACAGCCCAGCUCCUCACAGUCUGACCAGCACACCCCAGAGCUGCAGCCUGAGCGCCUGCCCCCCCAGUAGCCCUGGUGUUCUCUGCACCCAGAAGGCUCUGUGUCCAUGUCUACAGUGUGCCUCCCCAGCCCAGCCCAGGGACUCCUCAGAGCUGGUGCGAGCCUGGCCAUCACCUGCCUGGAAAGUGGCUCCCAUUUGGAAAUAGGGAUGCCUUGGAUAGGAAGAAGCAGGGAGAGGACAGUUUGCG